rnacentral:rRNA from 1 species
AGAAUAUUAGUCAAUGCUCGCAAGAGUGAACUAGCUAACUGAAAUCACAUUUUAACUAUGUUGAUAAUGUGAUAACGUAAGGGAAAAAAAUGAUAUUACCUUACUACUAGUGUUGUCCAAAACUGGUGCCAGAAGACUCGGUAAAGCCAGAGACGCAAACGUUAGUCGUCCUAAUCAGGCGUAAAGGGUAUGUAGGCUGCUUUAAAAUCAAUUAAAGCUAGAAUCAAAUUGAGGAUAAACCAAAUAAUACUUAGUGUAGGGUUGAUAUCUAUAGAUACUAAGGGGAAUACUAAAGGUGAAAGCUUUUUAUCUAUUAAUGAUUGACGCUGAGAAACGAAGGUGAGAAUAGGAAAUAGGAUUAGAUACCCAGAUACCUCUCACUGUCAACGAUGAAUGGUGGUUGUUAGUUUUAAAACAAACUGGUAACGAUGUUAACACGAUAACCAUUCCGCCUUGCGAGUACGGUUGCAAAACUGAAACCAAAAAAAUUAGUCGGUCUCGAAGCAAACGAAGUGAAGCAUGUUAUUUAAUUCGAUA